UCGAGGGGUAACAGGAGUAGCUUGCUANUUGCUGACGACCGGCGCACGGGUGCGUAACGCGUAUAGAAUCUACCUUAUACUGGGGGAUAGCCUUUGGAAACGAAGAUUAAUACCCCAUAGUAUUAUUUUUUGGCAUCAUUAAAUAAUUAAAGUUUCGGCGGUAUAAGAUGACUAUGCGUUCUAUUAGUUAGUUGGUAAGGUAACGGCUUACCAAGACUUCGAUAGAUAGGGGUCCUGAGAGGGAGAUCCCCCACACUGGUACUGAGACACGGACCAGACUCCUACGGGAGGCAGCAGUGAGGAAUAUUGGACAAUGGAGGCAACUCUGAUCCAGCCAUGCCGCGUGUAGGAAGACUGCCCUAUGGGUUGUAAACUACUUUUAUAUGGGAAGAAUAAGGUCUACGUGUAGAUCGAUGACGGUACCAUAAGAAUAAGCACCGGCUAACUCCGUGCCAGCAGCCGCGGUAAUACGGAGGGUGCAAGCGUUAUCCGGAAUCAUUGGGUUUAAAGGGUCCGUAGGCGGGCAUAUAAGUCAGUGGUGAAAGUCUGUGGCUUAACCAUAGAAUUGCCAUUGAUACUGUAUGUCUUGAAUUAUUGUGAAGUGGUUAGAAUAUGUAGUGUAGCGGUGAAAUGCUUAGAGAUUACAUAGAAUACCGAUUGCGAAGGCAGAUCACUAACAAUAUAUUGACGCUGAUGGACGAAAGCGUAGGUAGCGAACAGGAUUAGAUACCCUGGUAGUCUACGCCGUAAACGAUGGAUACUAGUUGUUUGGUUUUCGGACUGAGUGACUAAGCGAAAGUGAUAAGUAUCCCACCUGGGGAGUACGUUCGCAAGAAUGAAACUCAAAGGAAUUGACGGGGGCCCGCACNAGCGGUGGAGCAUGUGGUUUAAUUCGAUGAUACGCGAGGAACCUUACCAGGGCUUAAAUGUAGUCUGACAGCUUUAGAGAUAGAGUUUUCUUCGGACAGAUUACAAGGUGCUGCAUGGUUGUCGUCAGCUCGUGCCGUGAGGUGUCAGGUUAAGUCCUAUAACGAGCGCAACCCCUGUGGUUAGUUGCCAGCGAGUAAUGUCGGGAACUCUAGCCAGACUGCCGGUGCAAACCGUGAGGAAGGUGGGGAUGACGUCAAAUCAUCACGGCCCUUACGUCCUGGGCCACACACGUGCUACAAUGGUAGGGACAGAGAGCAGCCACUUAGCGAUAAGGAGCGAAUCUAUAAACCCUAUCUCAGUUCGGAUUGGAGUCUGCAACUCGACUCCAUGAAGCUGGAAUCGCUAGUAAUCGGAUAUCAGCCAUGAUCCGGUGAAUACGUUCCCGGGCCUUGUACACACCGCCCGUCAAGCCAUGGAAGCUGGGGGUACCUGAAGUCCGUCACCGUAAGGAGCG
rnacentral:rRNA from 1 species